ACAGUCCUUAUCCUGGAAGAUAUGUUCCUAACCAAUCCAUUCUCUAAGUGAAGUGAAGCGUGCUGGCUGCUGGUCUUCCUUUGGGGAAAAUACACAUCCUCAUCCUGGAAGCUAUGUUUUGUUCCUAACCAAUCCAUUCUCUAAGUGAAGUGAA